GGGUUGUGAGGUUAAGCGACUAAGCGUACACGGUGGAUGCCCUGGCAGUCAGAGGCGAUGAAGGACGUGCUAAUCUGCGAAAAGCGCCGGCGAGGUGAUAUGAACCUUUGACCCGGCGAUGUCCGAAUGGGGAAACCCAGUGCAAUCCGUUGCACUAUCGUUAACUGAAUACAUAGGUUAACGAGGCGAACCGGGGGAACUGAAACAUCUAAGUACCCCGAGGAAAAGAAAUCAACCGAGAUUCCCCCAGUAGCGGCGAGCGAACGGGGAGCAGCCCGGAGUCUGAAUCAGCUUGUGUGUUAGUGGAACGGUCUGGAAAGUCCGACGGUACAGGGUGAUAGUCCCGUACACGAAAGCACACAUGCUGUGAACUCGAAGAGUAGGGCGGGACACGUGGUAUCCUGUCUGAAUAUGGGGGGACCAUCCUCCAAGGCUAAAUACUCCUGACUGACCGAUAGUGAACCAGUACCGUGAGGGAAAGGCGAAAAGAACCCCGGCGAGGGGAGUGAAAAAGAACCUGAAACCGUGUACGUACAAGCAGUGGGAGCCUCUUUAUGGGGUGACUGCGUACCUUUUGUAUAAUGGGUCAGCGACUUAUAUUCUGUAGCAAGGUUAACCGUAUAGGGGAGCCGAAGGGAAACCGAGUCUUAACUGGGCGUUAAGUUGCAGGGUAUAGACCCGAAACCCGGUGAUCUAGCCAUGGGCAGGUUGAAGGUUGGGUAACACUAACUGGAGGACCGAACCGACUAAUGUUGAAAAAUUAGCGGAUGACCUGUGGCUGGGGGUGAAAGGCCAAUCAAACCGGGAGAUAGCUGGUUCUCCCCGAAAGCUAUUUAGGUAGCGCCUCGUGAAUUCAUCUUCGGGGGUAGAGCACUGUUUCGGCUAGGGGGCCAUCCCGGCUUACCAACCCGAUGCAAACUACGAAUACCGAAGAAUGUUAUCACGGGAGACACACGGCGGGUGCUAACGUCCGUCGUGAAGAGGGAAACAACCCAGACCGCCAGCUAAGGUCCCAAAGUCAUGGUUAAGUGGGAAACGAUGUGGGAAGGCACAGACAGCCAGGAUGUUGGCUUAGAAGCAGCCAUCAUUUAAAGAAAGCGUAAUAGCUCACUGGUCGAGUCGGCCUGCGCGGAAGAUGUAACGGGGCUAAACCAUGCACCGAAGCUGCGGCAGCGACACUAUGUGUUGUUGGGUAGGGGAGCGUUCUGUAAGCCGUUGAAGGUGUGCUGUGAGGCAUGCUGGAGGUAUCAGAAGUGCGAAUGCUGACAUAAGUAACGAUAAAGCGGGUGAAAAGCCCGCUCGCCGGAAGACCAAGGGUUCCUGUCCAACGUUAAUCGGGGCAGGGUGAGUCGACCCCUAAGGCGAGGCCGAAAGGCGUAGUCGAUGGGAAACAGGUUAAUAUUCCUGUACUUGGUGUUACUGCGAAGGGGGGACGGAGAAGGCUAUGUCAGCCGGGCGACGGUUGUCCCGGUUUAAGCAUGUAGGCGGAGGUUCCAGGUAAAUCCGGUACCUUAUUAACGCUGAGGUGUGAUGACGAGGCACUACGGUGCUGAAGUGAUAAAUGCCCUGCUUCCAGGAAAAGCCUCUAAGCAUCAGGUAACACGAAAUCGUACCCCAAACCGACACAGGUGGUCAGGUAGAGAAUACCAAGGCGCUUGAGAGAACUCGGGUGAAGGAACUAGGCAAAAUGGUGCCGUAACUUCGGGAGAAGGCACGCUGAUAUGUAGGUGAAGCCCCUGCGGGCGGAGCUGAAAUCAGUCGAAGAUACCAGCUGGCUGCAACUGUUUAUUAAAAACACAGCACUGUGCAAACACGAAAGUGGACGUAUACGGUGUGACGCCUGCCCGGUGCCGGAAGGUUAAUUGAUGGGGUUAGCGGCAACGCGAAGCUCUUGAUCGAAGCCCCGGUAAACGGCGGCCGUAACUAUAACGGUCCUAAGGUAGCGAAAUUCCUUGUCGGGUAAGUUCCGACCUGCACGAAUGGCGUAAUGAUGGCCAGGCUGUCUCCACCCGAGACUCAGUGAAAUUGAACUCGCUGUGAAGAUGCAGUGUACCCGCGGCAAGACGGAAAGACCCCGUGAACCUUUACUAUAGCUUGACACUGAACACUGGUCCUUGAUGUGUAGGAUAGGUGGGAGGCUUUGAAGCGUGGACGCCAGUCUGCGUGGAGCCAACCUUGAAAUACCACCCUUUAAUGGCUGGUGUUCUAACGUAGACCCGUAAUCCGGGUUGCGGACAGUGUCUGGUGGGUAGUUUGACUGGGGCGGUCUCCUCCCAAAGAGUAACGGAGGAGCACGAAGGUUGGCUAAUCCUGGUCGGACAUCAGGAGGUUAGUGCAAUGGCAUAAGCCAGCUUGACUGCGAGCGUGACGGCGCGAGCAGGUGCGAAAGCAGGUCAUAGUGAUCCGGUGGUUCUGAAUGGAAGGGCCAUCGCUCAACGGAUAAAAGGUACUCCGGGGAUAACAGGCUGAUACCGCCCAAGAGUUCAUAUCGACGGCGGUGUUUGGCACCUCGAUGUCGGCUCAUCACAUCCUGGGGCUGAAGUAGGUCCCAAGGGUAUGGCUGUUCGCCAUUUAAAGUGGUACGCGAGCUGGGUUUAGAACGUCGUGAGACAGUUCGGUCCCUAUCUGCCGUGGGCGCUGGAGAAUUGAGGGGGGCUGCUCCUAGUACGAGAGGACCGGAGUGGACGCAUCACUGGUGUUCGGGUUGUCAUGCCAAUGGCACUGCCCGGUAGCUAAAUGCGGAAGAGAUAAGUGCUGAAAGCAUCUAAGCACGAAACUUGCCCCGAGAUGAGUUCUCCCUGAGACCUUGAGUCUCCUGAAGGAACGUUGAAGACGACGACGUUGAUAGGUCGGGUGUGUAAGCGCAGCGAUGCGUUGAGCUAACCGAUACUAAUGAACCGUGAGGCUUAACCUUACAACGCCGAAGCUGUU
rnacentral:rRNA from 3 species